UACAGAGGUCCCAAGCGUUGUUCGGAUUCACUGGGCGUAAAGGGUGCGUAGGUGGUCGGGUAAGUCUGGUGUGAAAUCUCCGAGCUCAACUCGGAAACUGCAUUGGAUACUAUCCGGCUAGAGGAUCGGAGGGGAGACUGGAAUACUUGGUGUAGCAGUGAAAUGCGUAGAUAUCAAGUGGAACACCAGUGGCGAAGGCGAGUCUCUGGACGAUUCCUGACGCUGAGGCACGAAAGCUAGGGGAGCAAACAGG
rnacentral:rRNA from 1 species